rnacentral:tRNA from 2 species
GGCUACGUAGCUCAAUGGUAGAGCAGCUUCUUCAUAAGGAGAAGGUUUACAGGUUCGAGUCCUGUCGUAGCCACCA